CGAACGCUGGCGGCGUGCUUAACACAUGCAAGUCGAACGAUGAAGCCUAGCUUGCUAGGUGGAUUAGUGGCGAACGGGUGAGUAAUACGUGAGUAACCUACCUUUAACUCUGGGAUAAGCCUGGGAAACUGGGUCUAAUACCGGAUACGACCAAUCUCCGCAUGGGGUGUUGGUGGAAAGCGUUAUGUAGUGGUUAUAGAUGGGCUCACGGCCUAUCAGCUUGUUGGUGAGGUAACGGCUCACCAAGGCGACGACGGGUAGCCGGCCUGAGAGGGUGACCGGCCACACUGGGACUGAGACACGGCCCAGACUCCUACGGGAGGCAGCAGUGGGGAAUAUUGCACAAUGGGCGCAAGCCUGAUGCAGCGACGCCGCGUGAGGGAUGACGGCCUUCGGGUUGUAAACCUCUGUUAGCAGGGAAGAAGAGAAAUUGACGGUACCUGCAGAGAAAGCGCCGGCUAACUACGUG
rnacentral:rRNA from 1 species